rnacentral:rRNA from 1 species
CGGCGUGCCUAUACAUGCAAGUCGAACGAGAGCGACCGGUGCUUGCACUGGUCAAUCUAGUGGCGAACGGGUGAGUAACACGUGGGUAACCUGCCCAUCAGAGGGGGAUAACAUCCGGAAACGGAUGCUAAAACCGCAUAGGUCUUCGAGCCGCAUGGCUUGAAGAGGAAAAGAGGCGCAAGCUUCUGCUGAUGGAUGGACCCGCGGUGCAUUAGCUAGUUGGUGAGGUAACGGCUCACCAAGGCCGUGAUGCAUAGCCGACCUGAGAGGGUGAUCGGCCACAUUGGGACUGAGACACGGCCCAAACUCCUACGGGAGGCAGCAGUAGGGAAUCUUCCGCAAUGGACGCAAGUCUGACGGAGCAACGCCGCGUGAGUGAAGAAGGUUUUCGGAUCGUAAAACUCUGUUGUUAGAGAAGAACAAGUGCUAGAGUAACUGUUAGCGCCUUGACGGUAUCUAACCAGAAAGCCACGGCUAACUACGUGCCAGCAGCCGCGGUAAUACGUAGGUGGCAAGCGUUGUCCGGAUUUAUUGGGCGUAAAGCGAGCGCAGGCGGUUCCUUAAGUCUGAUGUGAAAGCCCCCGGCUCAACCGGGGAGGGUCAUUGGAAACUGGGGAACUUGAGUGCAGAAGAGGAGAGUGGAAUUCCAUGUGUAGCGGUGAAAUGCGUAGAUAUAUGGAAGAACACCAGUGGCGAAGGCGACUCUCUGGUCUGUAACUGA